rnacentral:rRNA from 1 species
CGGCCGCGGGAAUUCGAUUAGAGUUUGAUCAUGGCUCAGGGUGAACGUUGGUAGUGUGCUUAACACAUGCAAGUCGAGCGGAAGAUGAUAGCAAUAUUAUCUUUAGCGGCGUACGGGUGAGUAAUGCUUAUUUGAUCUGCCAAUUAGUGGGGGAUAGCCAUGAGAAAUCGUGGGUAAUACCGCAUUUGUUGCGUAUUCGUUUACGUAAUGAAAGGAGGUCUUUAGACCUUCGCUAGUUGAUGAGAAUAAGUCGUAUUAGCUAUUGGGUGUGGGUAAAUCCCACCAAGGCGAUGAUCCGUAGCUGGUCUGAGAGGAUGACCAGCCACACUGGGACUGAGACACGGCCCAGACUCCUACGGGAGGCAGCAGUGGGGAAUAUUGGACAAUGGGCGAAAGCCUGAUCCAGCAAUGCCGCGUGUGUGAAGAAGGCCUGCGGGUUGUAAAGCACUUUCGGUAGGGAAGAAGGCCUUAGUGUUAAUAGCACUAAGGAUUGACAUUACCUACAGAAGAAGCACCGGCUAACUCUGUGCCAGCAGCCGCGGUAAAAUCACUAGUGAAUUCGCGGCCGCCUGCAGGUCGACCAUAUGGGAGAGCUCCC